rnacentral:rRNA from 1 species
AUUGAACGCUGGCGGCAGGCCUAACACAUGCAAGUCGAACGAGUGGCGGACGGGUGAGUAAUGUCUGGGAAACUGCCCGAUGGAGGGGGAUAACUACUGGAAACUGUAGCUAAUACCGCCUACCAUCGGAUUUGCCCAGCUGGGAUUCUCUAGUAGGUGGGGUAAUGGGUCACCUAGGCGACGAUCCCUAGCUGGUCUGAGAGGAUGACCAGCCACACUGGAACGGAGACACGGUCCAGACUCCUAGGGGAGGCAGCAGUGGGGAAUAUUGCACAAUGGGCGCAAGCGUGAUGCAGCCAUGCCGCGUGUAUGAAGAAGGCCUUCGGGUUGUAAAGUACUUUCAGCGAGGAGGCGUUACUCGCAGAAGAAGCACCGGCUAACUACGUGCCAGCAGCCGCGGUAAUUC